CUAUAUACUGAUGGAGAUAUCUCCAACUCCUACUGGAUGGAUGGCAUGUUGGACAACAACACAGGCAGAUUCACGUAUGCAUCAGGGGAGUUGGUGCCCAUGGGCACUCCUUUCUGGGGCGCAACAUACACCCUUCACCAACCCAGUGGUGACGGCCCCUGCAUUGAGCUUUAUUCAAAUGACCAUCACUACAUGAAUGACCUGGCUUGUGACCACAUUCAUUUCGCCCUGUGCGAAUUUCCUUUUUCAUCAGCCGGAGAAGGUAUGUAUUGUUUGAAGUAGAUUCCUCAGUAACAAGCUCCAUAUUUUAUCACUCAGCUCUGUGUAUUAAAAAAAAAUAAUUGUAUCUAGUUUUAAAAUCACACAUUAGAGUACAAAUAUUUGAUUUUACUUUACCAAACCUAAGAAACAUGUGAGAAAUUUAUCAGAAGGAUGUAAUUUUAAUAUUUUAAAAAUUUUAUUGAUUAAUUAUUUAUGUUGAAUUUUAAUUUUAAAUUAUUUAUUUUGCAAUUUGACUAUAUGAAGAUAAUUCUUCCACUAAUAAACUCUCACUAGUUUGGGUGGGGGGUUAUAUUUAUAAAUUCAACUAGACAGGAAUUGACUUGUUAGUCACAUCAUAAAUUUAAA